CUCCUCCCCAGCUCCUUCUGGGUCCUAGCGAUAAACCGAUUCCAUGGCAGGUACUCUACCUCUCAGAGCCCUAUGUCUACACUGCUAUUUCAUGCACCCAGGCUCUAAGACGCAUUUCCUCCAGGCAAAUAUUAAAUAUCUUCGCCUACUGUGUUAGAGAUCUCUUUCCAUUUUUUAUCUAACGUAAAAAAUGAAUAAAGAGACCGGUAAGGCUGGUGAGAAGAGGAAGAGGACUGCAGGAGUAGACAAAGAUCCGUCCACGUCGAAACAAAAACAACGGGAUAGCACCCCUGACAGAGUAUUGAAGUCUCGGGGUGAACUUCCACCAAAAGAGAAGCCAUCUACUUUCAAAAAACCCUUACAAGACUCAUGGCUUCAAGAAGGCCAAAAUUGAUACCUGUGAAAUAUUGCAAAGGCUUUUCUACCCAGGGCAACACUCGGGAAUAUUAAGGUGAGUGAUCCACUGCGUCCCUCCUUCUUUUUGGACUUAAAAAAAACCAAAUGCAUGUUACACCUGGACUAUACAACAUUUUUAAAUGGUCAAGACAGAUCAAAGGCCUGAUGAUUGCAGUGUUUUGAGGAAGGA
rnacentral:lncRNA from 1 species